UGCUGCCCGGCCGGGUGGGAGGAACUGCAGGCUGAAAUGGAAACGGCUUUCCUGGCCUGAAAAAUUAACCUAGCCCUUCAGCUUCUCAAAGGCAGUAACGUUUCCCUAGGGUCUAGGAAUCAGCUAAAAGGCUAUAUGUUUUUUUUUUCCUUAUGAUAUAGUAUACUGCUUUCUCUUAAGUGAGCACGUGAUAAAGCCGUUAGAGAAAAUGCUCUUUAAUGUCUGUCUCUAGGUGUGAUGUCCAAGGCGCUAGCAAAGGAGAGCCACGCAGCAGGCCAGCAAGAGGAUUGUGAGGGCGGCUCCAGAAGGAGGAGCUGGGGGCUGUGGGUCACUGCUGGUGUCGGUGGGACCUUGGUGGCACUCUAUGCUGUGGUCACCCCCUUCGUGACCCCGGCUCUGAGGAAAGUGUGCCUGCCCUUCGUUCCUGCAACUGCUACUCAGAUCCAGAAUGUGCUGAAAAUGUUAGAGAACAGAAGCGGCUCCCUAGUUGACAUUGGUAGCGGGGAUGGCCGUAUUGUCAUAGCAGCUGCAAAAAGGGGAUUCAAAGCUGUUGGUUAUGAAUUAAAUCCCUGGCUAGUCUGGUACUCCAGAUACCGUGCCUGGAGAGAUGGGGUGCAUCAGAACACCAAGUUUUAUAUUUCAGACUUAUGGAAGGUUUCUUUUUCCCGUUAUAUGAAUGUUGUUGUUUUUGGGGUACCUCAAAUGAUGCCACAGUUGGAGAAGAAGCUGGAAGAAGAACUUCAAUGUAAUGCCAGAAUCAUUGCUUGUCGUUUUCCUUUCCCUUGCUGGAUCCCAGAUCAUACUGCUGGAGAGGGAAUAGACACUGUGUGGGCCUACGAUUUGAAACAUCGCAGAGGAUGUGAAACAAAAAGCUUGGAUAUUACACCAGAGACAGAAUCCUAAACAUCUAAUUUGCUUUUGUACUGAAAUUUUUGGCUUUGACUUCACCUGUUAGAGAUAAGAUUAAUGUGAAUAGAGCCCCAGGAUAUGGAGAUACACAUUCACUAAAAUAACUGAAGUACGCUGGUUAUCUGAAAGUGCACAAAGGAACUGCUUAAACAUAAUAUUUACAUUUUCAAAACACCUGAUCAUCUGCCACUGAAGCCUGUCUAAAAAGCCGACGGACCCUGUGAAACUUCUUAAUGCUGCAAUGUCUGCAGCUGUCUGUGCCAGAACUCUUGUUCAGAUGAGUAGAAAUGUGCCUAGCUCUUGCAUAAGCUCUCUUGAUUCUUGAUUUCUUGAAAGAAAAUGGAUGUGUGAGGAGAGGACACAAAAUGAAUGAUAAAAACUUGAGAAUCAGUGUAAGUUCUGGGAGAGAAAAAUGUGAGUG